ACUGACAACUGGAACCGUUAUGAUCAGAACGCGGUUGUCGCUUGCAGACAACUUGGCUUCUCAGAGGGAUCUUUCCGAUCAGUGACAGAUGGUGAAGUGGGCCCAGGGAAGUUCUGGAUGGAUGACGUCAUUUGUCGGGGAUAUGAGGACCAACUCUCCAAUUGUAAAUUUAAUGGGUGGGACAUACAUGACUGCGCUCACUAUCUGUAUCAGGAAAUUUAUCUAAUAUGUGAGCCACAAUUGGUUCUGAGACUGAUCGGCGGAGACAACCCGUACGAAGGGCGUCUGGAGAUUUUAACCAAUGACUAUGGCUGGGUAUCUGUGUGUAUGGAAGGCUGGACACAAACUAACUCAAAUG